GUCGCAAGACUGAAACUCAAAGGAAUUGACGGGGACCCGCACAAGCAGUGGAGUAUGUGGUUUAAUUCGAAGCAACGCGAAGAACCUUACCAGGUCUUGACAUCCCUUUGACCGGUCUAGAGAUAGAUCUUUCCUUCGGGACAGAGGAGACAGGUGGUGCAUGGUUGUCGUCAGCUCGUGUCGUGAGAUGUUGGGUUAAGUCCCGCAACGAGCGCAACCCUUAUGCUUAGUUGCC
rnacentral:rRNA from 2 species